rnacentral:tRNA from 3 species
GGAGAGGUGUCCGAGCGGUUGAAGGUGCAUGAUUGGAAAUCAUGUUGACGGCGAAUACCGUCACGGGGGUUCGAAUCCCCCUCUCUCCGCCA